rnacentral:snoRNA from 8 species
UGAAUGGUGUGCGUAGUGUCCGUCUGCGUUUAGUGCCGUCUCCGGUCUGUGUCUUACAGGCUGUGGGACGGUUCUCACACCGCACUCACGGCCACAGAGCCACCGGAGAUCAUAGUACUGGCCUAGUGUUGUCUAAAUGACCAUCCACCACUGACCAGCCUCCAUAGUCUCCAACAAAA